rnacentral:rRNA from 1 species
UGGGGAAUUUUGGACAAUGGGGGAAACCCUGAUCCAGCCAUCCCGCGUGUGCGAUGAAGGCCUUCGGGUUGUAAAGCACUUUUGGCAGGAAAGAAACGUCGCGGGUUAAUACCCCGCGAAACUGACGGUACCUGCAGAAUAAGCACCGGCUAACUACGUGCCAGCAGCCGCGGUAAUACGUAGGGUGCAAGCGUUAAUCAGAAUUACUGGGCGUAAAGCGUGCGCAGGCGGUUCGGAAAGAAAGAUGUGAAAUCCCAGAGCUUAACUUUGGAACUGCAUUUUUAACUACCGGGCUAGAGUGUGUCAGAGGGAGGUGGAAUUCCGCGUGUAGCAGUGAAAUGCGUAGAUAUGCGGAGGAACACCGAUGGCGAAGGCAGCCUCCUGGGAUAACACUGACGCUCAUGCACGAAAGCGUGGGGAGCAAACAGGAUUAGAUACCCUGGUAGUCCACGCCCUAAACGAUGUCAACUAGCUGUUGGGGGCCUUCGGGCCUUGGUAGCGCAGCUAACGCGUGAAGUUGACCGCCUGGGGAGUACGGUCGCAAGAUUAAAACUUAAAGGAAUUGACGGGGGUCAUAGCUGUUU